GAAAUGGGUUUUGAGGCGUCUAUAAUCGUCAGGUUUUUGUGGGGAACCUCUGGCUGCAUAGACCAAAAUAAUCCCAUCGGCUCAACACCUGUACUGGAGCUCGACGCGCUGUUGCGGAGCCAGGCCGACCAUUUUAAUCUGAACUGAUUCAUCAAAAAAACAGCUGCUUCCUCUGCAAAGUCUUUUUGAGGCUUUUAUUUGUCUAGGCAGGGACGUGGGCUUUUAUUUUGAAGACGGACAUACUUCUUCCCAACCUUGGUUAUCUGCCCAGCACAGCGGCUUGGACCGUGGGGCCACAGGUGGAUGCCAUUGCUGUCCAUUCCAUAAAAAUUCAGGCUGUUUUAUGUUAAGGUCUAACCCCAAAGUUUCUGUAAUUCAAUUGUUAUUGGAUGAGUACAUUCUGUUCUCUGUUGUUUAUUUGCUACUGUGUUGCAUUUGGUAAUCUGAGGAAUCUUGGAGGGAUUUCCAGUUUGGGAUCUUGUUUGGUGAAUAUUUUGUUUGGUCACACUCUGUAAUCUUACUGGAAAAAUGAACUGGAAACUAAUAGAGACAUUACAGAAUGAACUCCAUUAAAUUUAUUUCUCAGUGCAACAAGUCAUAAUACAAGGUAAAAUGUGUUUUGUUAUAAAACAUAACUUUAAUGUAAAUGUGAACUUCAUUACAUUACUCACUGUGUUUGUCUUAUCCAAUUCUGUUCAUGUUAUUCCAUCAUUUUACUAAAUCCACUUCCAACAACCACAUACUUCUGAUGUCAAAUUUGAGGAAGCAUGCUUAUCACAAGUGUCUUCACUUGAGAUUGACACAGCCUGUUAUUUCUUUAUGAAAAGUAGUCCUUAUUUUAUUAUUAAAGCGUAUUAUGACGUUAACAAUCAUUUUAUUAUGAAUAUCAUUGUAUUCUUGUAAUUCCUCACCUUAAGGAGAACAUCCAAAGGUUGUCAUUGGGUUAUUUAUAUUUGGAAAUAGAUUUGCUGCUGCCCACUGCA